AGGUACCGGUUUGGGUUUGUCUUUCAUUAUAAAUCUAUACAUAAUUGUAGUUUAAUAUUAGCAAGUUUCGCUCCACACGAGUAAAUAUAAUUUGAAGGUUGGGUGGAUGUUGGCAUAAUUGAUCCACCUCUAAUUGGUGCAAUAUACUAUACUUUAUGAGAAAGAGCUAAAAAAUCCUUGUAGUAUAUAGUAUACUUACCAUUCAAUCCAGGA
rnacentral:lncRNA from 1 species